GCCUGGGUGGCUCAAUCGGUUAAGCAUCUGACUUUGACUCAGGUCAUGAUCUCACAGUUCAUGGGUUCAAGCCCCUUGUCAGGCU
rnacentral:tRNA from 1 species